rnacentral:rRNA from 1 species
CUACGGGCGGCAGCAGUGGGGAAUAUUGGACAAUGGGCGAAAGCCUGAUCCAGCCAUGCCGCGUGUGUGAAGAAGGCCUUCGGGUUGUAAAGCACUUUCAGUGGGGAAGAAAGCCUUGGGGCUAAUACCCUCGAGGAAGGACAUCACCCACAGAAGAAGCACCGGCUAACUCCGUGCCAGCAGCCGCGGUAAUACGGAGGGUGCGAGCGUUAAUCGGAAUUACUGGGCGUAAAGCGCGCGUAGGCGGUCUGAUAAGCCGGUUGUGAAAGCCCCGGGCUCAACCUGGGAACAGCAUCCGGAACUGUCAGGCUAGAGUGCAGGAGAGGAAGGUAGAAUUCCCGGUGUAGCGGUGAAAUGCGUAGAGAUCGGGAGGAAUACCAGUGGCGAAGGCGGCCUUCUGGACUGACACUGACGCUGAGGUGCGAAAGCGUGGGUAGCAAACAGGAUUAGAUCCCCCUGUAGUC